rnacentral:rRNA from 1 species
UACGGAGGGUGCAAGCGUUGUCCGGAUUUAUUGGGUUUAAAGGGUGCGUAGGCGGGUUGAUAAGUCAGUGGUGAAAGCCCAACGCUUAACGUUGGAACUGCCAUUGAUACUGUCGAUCUUGAAUGUGUUUGAUGUGGGCGGAAUAUGACAUGUAGCGGUGAAAUGCUUAGAUAUGUCAUAGAACACCGAUUGCGAAGGCAGCUCACAAAGCCACUAUUGACGCUGAGGCACGAAAGCGUGGGGAGCAAACAGG